AUCCCAUGGUGAGGGCACUUCCUAAGCAUCUCCUUGAAUCAUUCCCAUGCUUCAUACAAAGAUUCCCUCUUAAACUGAGCAAAAGUAGUGAUAUCAUUAAUUAAUUU
rnacentral:snoRNA from 1 species